AGAAUUCCGGCGCUGCUGACCAGCUCCAGGCUCGCUACUCGUAUUGCGUCGUCCAAGUCCUCGGCACGGGCUUCAUCUGCUGCAGCGUUCUCGCGCAGGUUAAGAAAAUAUUGCAGUCCUUGCUUGAUGCGGCUCUCAAGCGUCGCAGGGACUCGAGCCCGUCUAGGUGGCAUGCUGUAUGACAACCAGAACUAUCGUCAGGGCUGCGAGUGCGACAUCGAGUAUUUGGCGACUUCAGAACAGUUUUACGUGCGCUGCGGCUUUGUGCGGCUUCAACCAGCAAUAACCUUAUGUGAAAUGCUUGGGCUCACGACAACUGUGCAAGCUAUAAUGAAAGUCCGGACUACUGCAGUACUGGAGUUGACAUAAUGUCGGGGCAUGCCGAGUGGACCGCGCCGCCGCCAUGCUUUGCCAUAUAUGCCAGUCGCCUUACACCCCAGUAAGCCCCCCUCCAAACCCUGUUCCUGCGACCAAGUGAUCACCCAGCGCAUUCCAAGUGCAAACCCAUGUCCCCAUCAACAGCGCCGCCGCCUGUUAGCAAGUCGCCCCUGCCCCUCCCCGGGUUCCUGCCGUUUACUGUCCCGCCUCCUCCUCACCACCUGCGCCGCCCCAGCCCCUUCAGCCUGCUACCCCUGCCCAGCCGCCCCUGUUGUGACCACGACACGGGCACCGGGCGGCUGCGGGGUCUAUCCUAGCCUAUCAGGAUGUCAAAGUCGAGUGACACCCGCGUGAGAGACCGCACUAAGUCGGCGUAGCAGGGUGUAGCGCGCAAGACAGGGUUGAUGGUACUGUGGUGCCAUGGCUCCAUUUUAUCGUAAGUGCGGUUCACGAGCACAGGCAGUGGUGGUAGCGGCGGUGUGUGGGGGGCUCCUGCGUGCUGGACGGGGGCGGGGGGGCGGUAGGUGCACUCUUGGACCUUCGUCGGCUUCGUGCAUAAGGGAAGAGCCGUUCCGUCCGGUGCGCAGCGUGCGCAGCGUGCGCACCAUAGUUGAUUGGAGUAGCUAUGGCAUUGGCACGAUGCCAGCGUGGGACAAGGUGGGAUGCCGCGGUUGCCGCCAUCCCGAAUGUUUACAGUACCGGUAACUGCCUAGUGCCCAUCAAAUCCGAGGCUGUGAUCUCGGCUGCGAUCGAUUUUACCUGGCUGCUCAGGCGAGGCUGCCGUUGCACGAGGAGAUGAAGAGGUGUGCACCUGGUGCUGCCUGGCGCAACUGUGCAAGCUACAUGAAAUGUUACUAAUGGUGCUGUAAUCAGCUGCAUGGCUCAUUCAAACCUUCUUUGUACCCCAAGCAGUGGCACGACACAAGGACUGCCGACAACGUUUCCUCAACAAUCGAUACAGCUUCCGGAGGUCGUGGCCUAAGUCAGCACGAAUCCGGUCCCGCUGCUCACGUCACUACGGUAAGUACCGAAUGCAUCCCUGCUGCAGGGGGGGGUAGGAACAAACUUUUUUGACCCCAUGCCACAAAACCUCCCGGACCCCCCGACCGACCGACCGACCGACCCCCCCUGCCGUACGACCCCCCAAAACCCCCUCAGAACCCCUUAGUUUUUUGUCAGGUUGGUGCCAAUUGACUGCUCUCGGUGAGCUCUAUCGCUAUGUUUGAUGAUCCGCCUUGGGAACACACUUUGACCGACCGAUAUGUGGACAUGUGGCCCGGCUGCCGACAAGUAUCCUGAUAGACUGGCCUGCUAUGCAACGGCUUACUUCAAUGUUACUUGAUGAUACGAAAUGUGCUGACAUGUUCAUCCAUGCAAAACCCGGCCGGCACCGGCCUGUCCCUGACCAGUUCCCCAGGCAUCUCCCGAAAUGCCGACAUGCCGCUCCCCAAACUGCCCCAAACUAUGCACGUGUGCUGAGUCUGGGGUAUACCUACGCACGCAUCGUUGAGCUGCACCCAUUGCGCCGCGUGCUGCAGGACAGAAGCGCUAGGAACAAAACUUGGCACAAACCUGUGCAAAACCUCUUGGGACCCCCGACCGACCGACCGACCGGCCACUUUGAGGGCUCAUAACUUUGCACCCAGAAACCCAUUUUCGAUUUUGAAAGCGGAUUCGUGAUUUUCUCGUUGAGCUCUAUCCAUUUGAGGCAUGGGGUCUGUUUCGGAAGAUUCUACCCCCCCCCUGCCUGCUGUAAUGACCUGAUAUCCUGAACCCGCGUCGUCGCAAUGGUAUCGCACCUUCAUGCCCGACCACAAACCCAGAAGCCGCAGCCGGUGUGGCCAAGGGGGUAGCCCUUCAACCAGCUCAACAACCACUAAAGUUAUCACUUCAGCGCGCCGGAGCCUUCCGUGCCUCUCCUGAAACCCUUUCAUACUGCAGCUUACCUCACACCACACGGUAUGCCUUACACAGGGCUCCAUCGCUCGCAAUCCAAGUGCCCAUGGCACCAUGGCUGCCGUAUGUACAGGGAAUAGCACGGGGGUAUACUCAGGUGGGGCAAUGUCGGGAUGGGAUCGGGCUACGGCUACCCUCACAUACUGUUAUGGCUGUCCCCAAUUGUUGUCACAACGCCACAAACAUAUGCCACAUGUCACCAGUGCCAGUAUUUGAUACCGUAUCUGCGUCACCUGUACUCGUUAUCUGACGCGCGCAAACUUUGGAGUCUGGGUACCUCCCGGCCUGCAUGACGUGACCCGCAGCUCCGCGAUCUGUGUCACAUGUCUCCCUGCCACAUUCCCUGCCCUACCUACGGCCACCACAUAGCCUGCCUACCUAUACCAUGUCACGCGCUACGGUUAUGCGGGUGUUGCAGUUCGUCAGUUCAUGCCUUCUUCAGCCCUGCCUUCGCUGCCUCUGCUGACCCUGCCGCCGCCGCGGCGGCUCCACUGCAGGUGCCAGAGUGCCGCUCACGCCAGUCCGCAAGCUGGCAAGCGCCGCAGCAAUACGUGGCAGCACGGCACCGCACACAUGUCUUGCCACUGCGGGGCGCAAUCAACGCGCUAAAGCCGUCCAGCGAGCAGCAGCGCGGGUUGCAGCAUAGCUUGGGCUCAAACACCGGCCCACCGCUCCUGCUACCCUGCCCACCACCGCUAGUGGUAUUGCUGCUGCUGCCACUGCGACCACCACUGCCGUCCCCGCCGCCGCAGGCUGCUGCGGGCUCACCCGUAGCAGCAGCUGCCGUUGCAGCCGCCGCCUCUGCGACCAUCAGGCCAUGCAGCCCCGCCUGUACCUGGCCUUGAGACAGCAGCCACAGGUACCGCGGCCGAACGGUGCUAACCCACUUCGCACCCAACCUAUCCGCCGUGGCGCUAGCGUGCGACGCGCCGCCCUCCCUGCUGCCAAGCCCUUGCACCCGUAUGCCGCUUCCCCCGGCGCCGGCGCCUCCACACUCGAUUAACAACUCCUCUCUUACAACCUCAGUGACUGCAUCCAGGUAAUCCACCACGUCCUGCCGCCCGUGCGCCGCCGCCAGCUGCUGCACCGGCAGCGGCGUCAAGCACUGCAGCAUCAGCUCGGGCGGUGGCGGCUGCUGCUGGGCUGUGCUGUCGUCAAGGCUGCUCGUACUGCUGCCCGCCCCGCCAUCCGCCUGCUGCCCAGCUUGCAGUCCUCCAUCCGUCCGCUGCCGCUGCUGCUGUUGUUCGGCCGCCCGUAUCGCUCGUGCACGUAUCGUGACACGCACCGCCCCCGCAAAGCGUGUCCAGUAGGAUUGCAACAGGUCCAACACGGCUGCCUGCUGCUGCGGUUCACAGUGCUCAGGCAGCACACCUCCUGCGUCUAUUGCCAGCACGUGCACAAUCUGGUGCACGCUCACAGCAAGCUGGCCAGCCAGCGUCACUCCCUCCCACCACGCCCCGUCCGGCCGCGGGCUCCAUGCCUGCUCCUCAGCUCCUCCGCUCGCAGUGACGUCGUCUUCCGCCCUUCGGCGCUCCUCGCGCCAGAGCACAUCCAUCAGCAGGUGCCCCACCAGGAGCGCCUGCGGCAGCCUCCGCCCGGCGCCCGCCGCACAGCGCAACAACACCUCCGCCGUUUCUUCUGCCAGCAUGGGCAGCCACUGGUACACCGCGAAGCUCGUGAGCAGCUGCUGCUGCCGGUCCGCCGUGGAGCCGGCAGCUGGCAGGCCGCCCGCCGCCGCCAUCCAGGCGAUGGAACACGUGGAGGGCUUGACACUGCCGUCCUUCGACUCCACUACCUGCUCCAGCACCGAGUUGAGGUGCAGAGGGGUGGGAACUGCGGCCGUGGCCGUAGCAUCGGUGGCUGCUGCCUGCUGCCCCUCCCGCUGCUGCUGUGCUCUCUCGUGCAGCGCCCGCAAGUCCGCGACCUGCUCCAGCAUUGAAGACAGGUAGGCACACAGGUAGCCCCAGGCGCCGCACUCCACAGUCAUUUGCAUGCCAGGCUGGGAGGCACUCCUUAUUACAUCGAGUGAGCUGUCACUCCCUCGUACAAGCCGAGCUGUGGCGCCCAGCGUGGCAAUCAGCGACACCGCCUGCUGCAAGGGACCGCGAGCCAGCACCGCCGGCCACACGCCCGAGUAUCGCAGCACGCAGUUCACGACGUACAGCAGCUUGCUUGCGCUGUCGGCCUGCUGCCAGGCCUGUGGCGCGCGAAGGCACCGCUCCACCGCUGGCAACAGUCCCGCGUCCAGCGCGCAGCGGAGGCUGAAGCUGGGGUCCCUUCCACGCGCCAGGCUGGCUGCUGCCUUCGCUGCUGUCGCCGCCUCCGCGCCCUGCAUCUCCGCCGCGGUUUCCAGCGGCCAGUCCACACUUGCCGCAGCCACGGAAGCUGCAUCCGUCACCCCAGCAGCCCACGCGGCCGGCGGCGGCGCACUCAGCUGCAGCCGCAGCAGCUCCCCUGCGUCCUGCGCAAGCCUGUACCCCAGAGUGAGCAUGGGCGGGUCCUGCGCCAGCAGCCGCCACCAGCCCGGUAGCAGCACCGCUGCCUGCCGCGGCCGCAGCUCCGUCAGCAGCCGGGCCAUUACUGGAGCGACCAAGAACUUGUUGCGCAUGCCCCUGUCGCUGUCACAUGCCAGGCCACACCACAACUCCAUAAGCAGGCGGUACGCGUGUGCGGCACUGUACGAAGCUGGUGCUGGUGCUGCAGCUGGCCCCUCCGCUGCUGCUGACCCCGCUGCCGAUGGCCCCGCCAACGGUUGCUGCGGCUGCGGCUGCCUGUGCGGCAGGCGGUCGUAGCCCAGGGGCGGCUGGGCGAUGGCCAGGUCGCAGGGGCCGCUGACCGUCACCUGCAAGACGAUGACACAUGCCUGCAAGGCGGCGAAACGGGAAGGCAAGGUCAAUCCAUAGCCGUGGAGCGGCCUCAUGCCACUUCAUGCCUUCCCGUCAGCCCCAUCAGGCAUGCGGCUCAAGCACUGGCACAAUGCACGCACGCGCCCUUACGUAAACGCACCAUGACUGACAGAUCCGGGCUUGACAAAGUGACCUGUGGCAGCAGCUGCAGCGGCCGUAUCAGCUCUGACGGCAGCCCGUGCCGCAGCUGCGACGCAGUUGGUACCAAGCCCUGCUGAUCGCCGCCAUCCGCGGCCCCCUCCUGCUGCUGUAGGGUCAUGGCUCCGCACAGGCCCGCCCAUCCCACCACGAGCUGCACGCAGCGACCCGCCAGCAGCGGCCGCACCUGCUCCAGCAGCAAGAGCGCCUCCACAUCGCUUACAGCAUCGCGGCAAAUGUCCUUUUCCCGGGGCUGUGGGCUCACAGAGAAAAUCUCCAUGUUCCCCGGCAGGAACAUGAGCGUGUGGGAGAAUGCGCUUGCUGCGGCCGACACGUUUUCCCAGCUUUCAGUUGGCGGCCCUCUCCCCGAAGCUGCUGCUAUUACUGCGGCUGCGCUGGGUGCGGGCUGAAUGGACUGGGCGGCGUGCAGCAGCGCCCGGGCGGCGUGCUCGAGCAGCUGAGUGUGCGCCAACGCCGAGAUCAGCUCCUGCCUCAGGCUGUUGUCCCGGCUGUUGUUUACACCUCGGGCGAUCGUGGAGAGGUUGUGCAGCAGACGAUAGAUGACGUCCCGCUUCAUGCGGUUCGCUCCAAAGUUGCGGCGGGUCGGCGCGUUCGUCCGCGCGCACAGCCUCGCGUACACGGCCAGCGUGUCCGCUCUUAGCAGGGCUCGGACCAGCCCGUCCCGCUGAUCGCAGCCUGGGUCACCCGACUGGCUACUGAGCAGCUCUUCCAGCUUGUUUACCGCCGAUUCAAACAGAAUGCAUGCCGGGCGGCUCAUAACGUCAACGGCGAGCGUGCGUGCUGCCCAUCCGUGUGCAGCCACGAUGCCGCUAAGAAUUUCGGCGCUGCUGACCAGCUCCAGGCUCGCUACUCGUAUUGCGUCGUCCAAGUCCUCGGCACGGGCUUCAUCUGCUGCAGCGUUCUCGCGCAGGUUAAGAAAAUAUUGCAGUCCUUGCUUGAUGCGGCUCUCAAGAGUCGCAGGGACUCGAGCCCGUCUAGGUGGCAUGCUGUAUGACAACCAGAACUAUCGUCAGGGCUGCGAGUGCGACAUCGAGU
rnacentral:lncRNA from 1 species